rnacentral:rRNA from 1 species
GGGGAAUAUUGCACAAUGGGCGCAAGCCUGAUGCAGCGACGCCGCGUGGGGGAUGAAGGCCUUCGGGUUGUAAACUCCUUUCGCUAGGGACGAAGCUUUUUUGUGACGGUACCUAGAUAAGAAGCACCGGCUAACUACGUGCCAGCAGCCGCGGUAAUACGUAGGGUGCGAGCGUUGUCCGGAAUUACUGGGCGUAAAGGGCUCGUAGGUGGUUUGUCGCGUCGUCUGUGAAAUUCUGGGGCUUAACUCCGGGCGUGCAGGCGAUACGGGCAUAACUUGAGUGCUGUAGGGGUAACUGGAAUUCCUGGUGUAGCGGUGAAAUGCGCAGAUAUCAGGAGGAACACCGAUGGCGAAGGCAGGUUACUGGGCAGUUACUGACGCUGAGGAGCGAAAGCAUGGGUAGCGAACAGGAUUAGAUACCCUGGUAGUCCAUGCCGUAAACGGUGGGCGCUAGGUGUGAGGGUCUUUCUACGACUUUCGUGCCGUAGCUAACGCAUUAAGCGCCCCGCCUGGGGAGUACGGCCGCAAGGCUA